AGCUUUGGGCAGUGGGAUAUCAUAGUCAAUGAGGCUUAUUCAAGGUGUUAUAGUUGCUAAUUGAAAACUUUACCAGUACCCACCAAGAUGACUUGAAAUAUAAUUGGCAUUGGCAGUUUUGACAGUCUCUACAGAGA
rnacentral:snRNA from 1 species